AACGAACGCUGGCGGCAGGCCUAACACAUGCAAGUCGAGCGAGCAUUUCGGUGCUAGCGGCGGACGGGUGAGUAACGCGUGGGAACGUGCCCUUUUCUGCGGAAUAGUCCUGGGAAACUGGGGGUAAUACCGCAUACGCCCUUUUGAGGAAAGAUUUAUCGGAGAAGGAUCGGCCCGCGUUGGAUUAGGUAGUUGGUGGGGUAAUGGCCCACCAAGCCGACGAUCCAUAGCUGGUUUGAGAGGAUGAUCAGCCACACUGGGACUGAGACACGGCCCAGGCUCCUACGGGAGGCAGCAGUGGGGAAUCUUAGACAAUGGGGGCAACCCUGAUCUAGCCAUGCCGCGUGAGUGAUGAAGGCCUUAGGGUUGUAAAGCUCUUUCAGCUGGGAAGAUAAUGACGGUACCAGCAGAAGAAGCCCCGGCUAACUCCGUG
rnacentral:rRNA from 1 species